AGUUCGAUUCUGGCUCAGAUUGAACGCUGGCGGGAUGCUUUACAGAGCGUAAGUCGAACGGCAGCACGGACUUGGUCUGGUGGCGAGUGGCGAACGGAGUAAUACCGGAAUCGUGCCAGAAGGGGGAUAACUACGCGAAAGCGUAGCUAAUACCGCAUACGCCCUUCGGGGAAAGCGGGACCUUCGGGCCUCGCACUAUUAGAGCGGCCGAUACCGAUUAGUUGCGGGGUAACGGCCGCACCAAGGCGACGAUCCGUAGCUGGUUUGAGAGGACGACCAGCCACACGGGGACUGGAGAUGAUGGCCUGGGACCACGAGGCAGCAGUGGGACCGGACAAUGGGGAAACCCUGAUCCAGCCAUCCCGCGUGUGCGAUGAAGGCCUUCGGGUUGUAAAGCACUUUUGGCGGUAAAGAAACGGCACGGGAUAAUACCCCGCAACUGGAUGGUACCUGCAGAAUAAGCACCGGCUAACUACGUGCCAGCAGCCGCGGUAAUACGUAGGGUAAAGGCACCUGACUAUUGGGCGUAGUGCAGGCGGUUCGGAAAGAAAGAUGUGAAAUCCCAGAGCUUAACUUGGAAUCCGCAUUAACUUACCGAGCUAGAGUGUCAGAGGGAGGUGGAAUUCGCGUGUAGCAGUGAAAUGCGUAGAUAAGCGUGAGGAACACCGAUGGCGAAGGCAGCCUCCUGAUAACACUGACGCUCAUGCACGAAAGCGUGGGGAGCAAACAGGAUUAGAUACUCCGGUAGUCCAAUGCCCUAAACGAUGUCAACUAGCUGUUGGGGCCUUCGGGCUCUCGGUAGCAGCUAACGCGUGAAGUUGACCGCCUGGGGAGUACGGUCGCAAGAUUAAAACUCAAAGGAAUUGAUUUGGACCCGCACAAGCGGUGGAUGAUGUGGAUUAAUUCGAUGCAACGCGAAAACCUACCUGUAACCCUUGACAUGUCUGGAAUCCCGAAGAGAUUUGGGAGUGCUCGCAAGAGAACCGGAACACAGGUGCUGCAUGGCUGUCGUCAGCUCGUGUCGUGAGAUGUUGGGUUAAGUCCCGCAACGAGCGCAACCCUUGUCAUUAGUUGCUACGAGCGGGCACUCUAACGACUGCCGGUGACAAAACCGAGGAAGGUGGGGAUGACGUCAAGUCCUCAUGGCCCUUAUGGGUAGGGCUUCACAUCGUCAUAACAACGUCGGGACAGAGGGUCGCCAACCCGCGAGGGGGAGCCAAUCCCAGAAACCCGAUCGUAGGUCCGAUCGCAGUCUGCAACUCGACUGCGUGAAGUCGGAAUCGCUAGUAACUGCGGAUCAGCAUGUCGCGUGAACAUGCCCCGGGUCUUGUACACACCGCCCGUCACACCAUGGGAGUGGGUUUUACCAGAAGUAGUUAGCCUAACCGUGUUGAGGCGAUUACCACGGUAGGAUUCAUGACUGGGGUGAAGUCGUAACAAGGUAG
rnacentral:rRNA from 1 species